UGGUGGGCUCACGACACUCGUAACUCACUAACUCACUUCCCGAACCCCAGGCUGAAACCCUAGGGAACACACUGAAAAACCCUGUGCCCACUUUUAUUUCUUUUCUUUCUUUUUCUCUCGAAAGUUUUAGACUUCCUACUUGUGUGCAAGGGUUCCUCACGCCCCACUUUCUCUCUCAAAAAAUUUCUAUGCACGCCCCAGC
rnacentral:lncRNA from 1 species